rnacentral:rRNA from 1 species
GAUGAACGCUGGCGGCGUGCCUAAUACAUGCAAGUCGAGCGAACGGACGAGAAGCUUGCUUCUCUGAUGUUAGCGGCGGACGGGUGAGUAACACGUGGAUAACCUACCUAUAAGACUGGGAUAACUUCGGGAAACCGGAGCUAAUACCGGAUAAUAUUUUGAACCGCAUGGUUCAAAAGUGAAAGACGGUCUUGCUGCCACUUAUAGAUGGAUCCGCGCUGCAUUAGCUAGUUGGUAAGGUAACGGCUUACCAAGGCAACGAUGCAUAGCCGACCUGAGAGGGUGAUCGGCCACACUGGAACUGAGACACGGUCCAGACUCCUACGGGAGGCAGCAGUAGGGAAUCUUCCGCAAUGGGCGAAAGCCUGACGGAGCAACGCCGCGUGAGUGAUGAAGGUCUUCGGAUCGUAGAACUCUGUUAUUAGGGAAGAACAUAUGUGUAAGUAACUGUGCACAUCUUGACGGUACCUAAUCAGAAAGCCACGGCUAACUACGUG